GGGUUAGGUUUGGGUUAGGGUAGGGUUAGGGCUAGGGUUAGGGUUAGGUUACCCCUACCCUAGCCCUACUCCUAACCCUACCCUAGCCCU